rnacentral:lncRNA from 1 species
UAAGAUAAAAUCAUGGGUCACUGGGAAGCCAACAUGGUGAAACCUCGUCUCUACUAAAAAUACAAAAAUUAUCUGGGCGUGGUGAUGUACACCGAUAAUCCCAGCUACUCAGGAGGCUGAGGCAGGAGAAUGGCGUGAACCCGGGAGGCAGAGGUUGCAGUGAGCCGAGAUGCAGAGGUUGCAGUGAGCCGAGAUUGCACCACUGCUCUCCAGCCUGGGUGACAGAGGGAGACUCUGUCUCUAAAAAAGAAAAAAAUCAAAAAACAAAAAACAAAAAAACUCACAUACUACAAAAUACAGUUUCUAUUGAAAUAAAGUUUGUCAAAAUAAUGAUUCAAUUUGGUUAAACACAUAUUUAAAUUUUUUCUGUCACAUUAAACAUUUGGCAAAUAAAAC